UAGGGAAUCUUCGGCAAUGGACGAAAGUCUGACCGAGCAACGCCGCGUGAGUGAAGAAGGUUUUCGGAUCGUAAAACUCUGUUGUUAGAGAAGAACAAGGACGUUAGUAACUGAACGUCCCCUGACGGUAUCUAACCAGAAAGCCACGGCUAACUACGUGCCAGCAGCCGCGGUAAUACGUAGGUGGCAAGCGUUGUCCGGAUUUAUUGGGCGUAAAGCGAGCGCAGGCGGUUUCUUAAGUCUGAUGUGAAAGCCCCCGGCUCAACCGGAGAGGGUCAUUGGAAGCUGGGAGGCUUGAGUGCAGAAGAGGAGAGUGGAAUUCCAUGUGUAGCGGUGAAAUGCGUAGAUAUAUGGGGGAACACCAGUGGCGAAGGCGGCUCUCUGGUCUGUAACUGACGCUGAGGCUCGAAAGCGUGGGGAGCAAACAGG
rnacentral:rRNA from 1 species